rnacentral:rRNA from 1 species
UGAGUAAGGCGGGACACGUGAAAUCCUGUCUGAAAUUCGGAGGACCACCUUCGAAGCCUAAGUACUCGUGCAUGACCGAUAGCGAACUAGUACCGUGAGGGAAAGGUGAAAAGCACCCCAACGAGGGGAGUGAAAAAGUACCUGAAACUGGUUGCCUACAAACAGAUGGAGCCUGAAAGGGUGACAUCGUACCUUUUGUAUAAUGGGUCAGCGACUUAGUGUAUCGAGCAAGCUUAAGCCGGUAGGUGUAGGCGCAGCGAAAGCGAGUCUGAACAGGGCGUUCAGUUCGAUGCAUUAGACCCGAAACCGAGUGAUCUAGCCAUGAGCAGGUUGAAGGUGAGGUAACACUCACUGGAGGAC